AGUGAACGCUGGCGGUAGGCCUAGCACAUGCAAGUCGAACGGCAGCACAGUAAGAGCUUGCUCUUACGGGUGGCGAGUGGCGGACGGGUGAGGAAUACAUCGGAAUCUACUUUUUCGUAGGGGAUAACGUAGGGAAACUUACGCUAAUACCGCAUACGACCUACGGGUGAAAGCAGGGGAUCUUCGGACCUUGCGCGAUUGAAUGAGCCGAUGUCGGAUUAGCUAGUUGGCGGGGUAAAGGCCCACCAAGGCGACGAUCCGUAGCUGGUCUGAGAGGAUGAUCAGCCACACUGGAACUGAGACACGGUCCAGACUCCUACGGGAGGCAGCAGUGGGGAAUAUUGGACAAUGGGCGCAAGCCUGAUCCAGCCAUACCGCGUGGGUGAAGAAGGCCUUCGGGUUGUAAAGCCCUUUUGUUGGGAAAGAAAAGCAGCAGGUUAAUACCCCGCUGUUCUGACGGUACCCAAAGAAUAAGCACCGGCUAACUUCGUG
rnacentral:rRNA from 1 species